rnacentral:rRNA from 1 species
AGAGAGAGACAUGCGCGCAUAUCAAUAAGCGGAGGAAAAGAAACUAACAAGGAUUCCCCUAGUAACGGCGAGUGAAGCGGGAAGAGCUCAAAUUUGAAAUCUUAAAGGGUUUCCCUUUACGAAUUGUAGUUUAAAGAAGUGUUUUCUGAUGAGGUUUUGGUAAAAGUUCUUUGGAAUAGGACAUCAUAGAGGGUGAGAAUCCCGUAUUUGACCUUUACUUUCAACUUUGUGAUACACUUUCAAAGAGUCGGAUUGUUUGGGAAUGCAGUCCAAAAUGGGUGGUAAAUUUCAUCUAAAGCUAAAUAUUGGCGAGAGACCGAUAGCGAACAAGUACCGUGAGGGAAAGAUGAAAAGAACUUUGAAAAGAGAGUUAAACAGUACGUGAAAUUGUCAAAAGGGAAGCGUUUGACACCAGUGUUGUUUUUCUGAAAAUCAAUUAAAGAACUGUUUAUGCUAAGUUGUUUAGACUUUAUCAGCUAACUGUUUAGUUUUGAGCUUUUCUUUAAUGCACCUUUUCAGUUAACAAGUCAACAUCAAUUUCUUUUGCUGUAAAAAAGCUUGAGGAAGGUGGCUUGAGAUUCGUCUUAAGUGUUUAUAGCCUCUUGCCUAUGCAGUCGGAGAGAUUGAGGUCUGCAGCGUAGAUCCUUCGGGGCUAAAUGCAUUUGUGCUAAGUUAUAGCAUUUUAUAGACAACUUGUUGCCUAUGAUUUGUCUUGUAGCUUACUCGCUUAUGUUAUUUUACCUACGCUUAGGAUGUUGAGCGCAUGUCUCUCUCU